AAGCAGAGGGGGCUUAGUGGUGGGGUGACUGCGUACCUUUUGUAUAAUGGGUCAGCGACUUAUAUUCUGUAGCAAGGUUAACCGAAUAGGGGAGCCGGAGGGAAACCGAGUCUUAACCGGGCGUUAAGUUGCAGGGUAUAGACCCGAAACCCGGUGAUCUAGCCAUGGGCAGGUUGAAGGUUGGGUAACACUAACUGGAGGACCGAACCGACUAAUGUUGAAAAAUUAGCGGAUGACCUGUGGCUGGGGGUGAAAGGCCAAUCAAACCGGGAGAUAGCUGGUUCUCCCCGAAAGCUAUUUAGGUAGCGCCUCGUGAAUUCAUCUCCGGGGGUAGAGCACUGUUUCGGCUAGGGGGCCAUCCCGGCUUACCAACCCGAUGCAAACUGCGAAUACCGGAGAAUGUUAUCACGGGAGACACACGGCGGGUGCUAACGUCCGUCGUGAAGAGGGAAACAACCCAGACCGCCAGCUAAGGUCCCAAAGUCAUGGUUAAGUGGGAAACGAUGUGGGAAGGCCCAGACAGCCAGGAUGUUGGCUUAGAAGCAGCCAUCAUUUAAAGAAAGCGUAAUAGCUCACUGGUCGAGUCGGCCUGCGCGGAAGAUGUAACGGGGCUAAACCAUGCACCGAAGCUGCGGCAGCGAACGUAUCACUUAAAGCGAUUCAGCGGGUUACGAUUGACGGAGCGAAGCGACGUCAAAGCGUAUACAAAGUCGAGUCGGUUUAAG
rnacentral:rRNA from 1 species